rnacentral:rRNA from 1 species
UUGGAGGGCAAGUCUGGUGCCAGCAGCCGCGGUAAUUCCAGCUCCAAUAGCGUAUAUUAAAGUUGUUGCAGUUAAAAAGCUCGUAGUUGAAUUUCGGGAUCAAUAUAUCGGUCGUGCCUUUGGUACGUACUGGUAUCAUUGAUUUCUCCUUUCUGACGAAUCAUGAUGUCGUUAAUUUGGUGUUAUGAGGAGUUAGGACUGUUACUUUGAAAAAAUUAGAGUGUUUAAAGCAAGCAUUAGCUUGAAUACAUUAGCAUGGAAUAAUGAAAUAGGACGUUUGACCCUAUUUUGUUGGUUUUUAGGAUCGACGUAAUGAUUAAUAGGGAUAGUUGGGGGCAUUAGUAUUCAAUUGUCAGAGGUGAAAUUCUUGGAUUUAUUGAAGACUAACUACUGCGAAAGCAUUUGCCAAGGAUGUUUUCAUUAAUCAAGAACGAAAGUUAGGGGAUCGAAGACGAUCAGAUACCGUCGUAGUCUUAACCAUAAACUAUGCCGACUAGGGAUCGGAUGAUGUUAAUUUUAUAAUGACUCAUUCGGCGCCUUACGGGAAAC